CUGAGAGAGGAUUCUAUCCUGCCAGCAAUUCCUCUUUGUCGUGUUCACGACAUAUAUAUUAUAUGCCAUCUCAUCUCCACCUACCUCCUCCCUCCUCCCUCCUCCACCAAAAACUCAGACACCGUCAUCAACUUUCAUUUUUCUUUUCUUAAAUCUCCUUCCCUUUUGUACUUACAAAAUCAAUUCAAUUGUUCAUCAUAAAACCGUCAUUUCUCUCUAUCUUCUAAUUAAUAGUAAUAACAUUUUUCUCCUAUCCAAUCGAUUAUUCUUUAUUUCGUUUUCAUUAUCUGUACAUCUUGUAUAAUAAUUCAAAGGCAUAUUGGUCGAAUUUUAGAUGUUUCAAUGACGAGUGCCAUCGGAAAUGGUUCGUUGUUUUAUCGUACUCCGUCAAAAUUUGAUGGUGCUGACACCUCCUCGGAAAAGUUAGGAGUUCUAAAGCUACGGGCAUGUAAUUUUUGCAAAGCUGCGUUAUUGGGCUUACCGCCCUUAAGGGCAAUGGAGGCUUCUAGAACGUCUCAUAUCAAUGGAAAAGCCGAAAAUGUUCAUCAGCCAGGAUACAAUUCAAACGAUCGAGUACCUGCAAAUGAUUGUCCUGGCUUUUCUGGUAAAAGUAUACCUGGGAUUUCUACAAACGGAAAUUCAAUGAACAUUGUUUGGCACAAAUGUUCCGUAGAGAAAAGUGACAGAGAGGAGUUGCUUCAGCAAAGGGGUUGUGUUAUAUGGAUUACCGGUCUGAGUGGUUCAGGGAAGAGCACUUUGGCAUGUGCUCUAAGUCGUGGCUUACAUGCUAGAGGAAAACUCACCUACAUCCUUGAUGGUGAUAAUGUCCGCCAUGGUCUGAAUUGUGACCUUAGUUUUGGAGCUGAAGAUCGAGCAGAAAAUAUAAGACGGAUUGGGGAAGUGGCUAAGCUUUUGGCGGAUGCUGGAGUUAUUUGCAUUGCCAGUUUGAUAUCUCCCUACAGAAAGGAGCGAGAUGCCUGCCGUGCUUUGCUACCUGAAGGGGAUUUCAUUGAGGUGUUCAUGGAUGUUCCUCUACGUGUAUGUGAGGCAAGGGACCCUAAGGGAUUGUAUAAGCUUGCUCGAGCUGGAAAGAUAAAAGGUUUUACUGGUAUUGAUGAUCCAUAUGAGCCACCCCUGAAAUCAGAGAUAGUGUUGCGUCAGAACCAAGGGCUAUGUGACUCUCCUAAUGACUUGGCUGAUGUAGUGAUCUCAUACUUGGACAAAAAUGGAUACCUGAAAGCAUAACUGCUCAUGACCUUAUGUUCAGACUGAGAUUUCGAGAGAGCUGUGUUUCCCUUGUGAAUAAGUGGGAUCAUAAUAUAUGUAGAUUGAGUUAAUCUGUGAACUAAACUUGCGGACAUUUUGUUCGAUAGGCCUAGCACUUCUGUUGUACAAGGUUAGGAUCUGAUCGCAGAAAGAAGCACUGCAUUCAUGUGCCUAUCGACGUCCCAAACAAAGAUAAAAACAUAAAAAAUGAGAAUAUCCCCUCCCCAUAAGCUAUAAGUUGUGAGGAAAGAUUCCGUCCGUCAUAGACUCAUAGUUACAAGAUGCUUUUACUGCCAGAAAAUACAAGUGCUAGAAAGCUAAUCUAUUUGCAUUUUGUUGUGCGCUAGGUAAGCAAGUGAUUGAGAAGUUUCCUCCAAAUUAUGUCAUGUAAAAGAGAUUUGUGAUGUCUGGCUUAUGGAAGCAUUUAAAAUGAGAGAACUUGCAUUCUGGAAUUUGGUGAAAACUGAGAUGUCGCAUGUGCUAACAGUUGUGGCUUUGAGCUUCAAAACUUUCCACACAGUGGCUUUCCCAUGUAAAGUUGUGGAUGAAGUAAAAUUCAAGCAACCAGAAAAUAAAUCUCCUAAGAAAUCAGGAUUCUUAGAGAAGCCGUCCGAAUUAAUUAGCACAGUUGUGUUGACAUCAUGAUCUUUUCUAGCUGGGAUGGUGUCUGCUUCGAUUGGUGCUUCAGCUGCUGGAUCGUUGCGAUAAGUCACAUAAGCUCUGCUGCUCUCAUACUUGAAGCUUCCAUAAUUCCUGUUAUGGAUAGUGAGAAUUAGGCCAAUUGUUAUGUUGAGAUGAAAUGCUGGAAAUGGCUCAAAUCUAAUGGACUCUAAUGUGACAGACUGAAUUGUGACUUUUGGAUCUUUUGGCUUAAGGAUUGUGAAAUAUAGGACAAUACCAACGACUAGAAGAAUAAUUAGGAGAAUUGCUGUAAUGCCACAACCUAUUUUGAGGGCCUUUUUUAUCUUUAGUGUGCAGCAUCCCAUGGUUCAAUUUCUUCAGAUAUGCUGAGAAGAACUAAGGGGAGGUUUUGAAGGUAUUUACACCAUGAGUGUUGUUGAUUGAACAUUGAGAAAACACCAGUCGGAGAUUAUUCCUAGGUGGUUUCGGAUUAACCAAGGAUUAGGAAUUUCAAUACUUUCUGUUAAAAGUUUUCUGAGAUACUUUUGGCUUGUAUCUGAUUUGUCAUUGAGAAGGAGAUGAUAACAAUAGAAGAAGAGUUGUUUGGUUGAGAUUGUACA